GCGGGAAUAGCUCAGUGGUAGAGCACCACCUUGCCAAGGUGGGGGUCGCGGGUUCGAAUCCCGUUUCCCGCU
rfam:Bacillus selenitireducens MLS10, complete genome.